UGAAUCUGGGCAGGCUUUCUGACUGUGAGGCCAACAGGAUGUGGCAACCCUUAUGAUGUGAGAGUUUCUAGCCUCUGACCUUAAUAAACUGGGAGCUUCUGCUUCCUGUCUCUUGGGGCACUUUCUGGGAGCUGCACGCCCCUCAGCAAGAUGCCUGAGUACUCUGACAGUGCCGGGCCAGAGGGUCCUCAUAGAGUCCCUUGAUCGACCGUCCUGGCCAAGUGUAGUUUUCCAGCUGUUAUUGCCAAGGCAUCUGACGUGUGAGUGAACUACACUGGACCCUGCAGACUACACCAUACCUGCCUGUUGAACUCUGUCAUGUGACCUCCAUUGACACCACAUGGAACACACUGCGUAGCUGAACCCUGCCUGAAUUCCUGACCCUCAACAUUAUUGGAAGCACUGUGAAGACCACAGGGACCGUGCAUGGUUUGUUCACACUGUGUGCUCAUGUAGCCCAGUAUUGAGACACUCGUUUGUACUUGGCCAGAUGUUUUAUCCUGCUACGUUAAGUCAUCUUGACAUGCUGCCAUGAAGUGGAAACAACUGCUAGUUUUAAUAUCGCUCCAUAUCUUUAUUACAAGUCAAAAGGCUUGAACUUCAUGGAUGAGGACUUGUGUUUUCAUUGAAUGAGGAACCGACUGUCUGAGCCAGCAGCUGAAGAUUCCAAAGAAUCAUGGUGUCUCCUCUGACAAUGGGUCCUUAGAGGGCCCUCUUCUAUCCCAGCAGCAAAGGUCCCUCACUGUGAUCGUCCGGUGGUGCUGACUUGCCCAUGAAACCCUCGGUCCUACACCUUGGAGACUGCCUUCUGUCCGAAGUGUUUGAGACAGGGCCCUGGUUUUAUGAACUCAGUGCCUGUCUCUGAAAGACAGCAGAUGCAAUGAGGCCCCGGAUGGAAACAAUAAAUACCAUUCAGAUUUCCCGCA